GACCUCAAAUCGGGUGGGACUACCCGCUGAACUUAAGCAUAUCAAUAAGCGGAGGAAAAGAGACUAGCAAGGAUUCCCCUAGUAACGGCGAGUGAAGAGGGAAAAGCUCAAAUUUUGAAUCUGGUGUCUUUGACUCCCGAGUUGUAAUCUAGAGAAGUGUUUUCCGUGUCGGACCGUGCACAAGUUCCCUGGAACGGGGCGUCAUAGAGGGUGAGAAUCCCGUAUAUGGCACGGACUGCCGAUGCUUUGUGAUACACUCUCAACGAGUCGAGUUGUUUGGGAAUGCAGCUCAAAAUGGGUGGUAAAUUCCAUCUAAAGCUAAAUAUUGGCGAGAGACCGAUAGCGAACAAGUACCGUGAGGGAAAGAUGAAAAGCACUUUGGAAAGAGAGUGAAACAGUACGUGAAAUUGUUGAAAGGGAAGCGUUUGAAGUCAG
rnacentral:rRNA from 1 species